UUGACGGGGCCCGCACAAGCGGCGGAGCAUGCGGAUUAAUUCGAUGCAACGCGAAGAACCUUACCAAGGCUUGACAUACACCGGUAACGCCCAGAGAUGGGUGCCCCUUUGUGGUCGGUGUACAGGUGGUGCAUGGUUGUCGUCAGCUCGUGUCGUGAGAUGUUGGGUUAAGUCCCGCAACGAGCGCAACCCUCGUCCUAUGUUGCCAGCGGGUCAUGCCGGGGACUCAUGGGAGACUGCCGGGGUCAACUCGGAGGAAGGUGGGAUGACGUCAAAUCAUCAUGCCCCUUAUGUCUUGGGCUUCACGCAUGCUACAAUGGCCGGUACAAAGGGCUGCGAUACCGCGAGGUGGAGCGAAUCCCAGAAAGCCGGUCUCAGUUCGGAUUGGGGUCUGCAACUCGACCCCAUGAAGUCGGAGUCGCUAGUAAUCGCAGAUCAGCAACGCUGCGGUGAAUACGUUCCCGGGCCUU
rnacentral:rRNA from 1 species